CUACGCUUCCUUCUCCAUUUUUUAGCUAAGAAAUUGAGAGAGUCGGUUUACUUUUGGGCUUGGACUAUCAUUUAGAUCGGUUAACAGUACAGUUGAGAGAGUUGGUGUCUUUUGUUGAGGUGCGAGGACCCGAGGCGGCGACCCUCGCCUUUAUUCGGAGAAGCCCACUUCCACCCACAGAGUUGGGGUAGUCCUCCGAAAUGCAUUUUUGUUUUGCCGUUUGUUUUCCAACCCCCCUUCACUCUCCCCAAGGCUUCAGAUUCACCAAUUUUUCAUACAGGAAUGAUUAACAAAGGCGUCCGAAGAAAUCGUUGUUGGAAGGUGGCCAAGGUGGAAAGAGACGUUGCUUUGGCCCUGCAAAGUUUUGUCAACACUAAGAUGAGAAACGUCCUUUCUUCCUGAAGGUGUCUGAUGUGUAAAAAUACUGAUAUACUUUGUGCUGUUUCCUCCCUUCCCUUUUGCACAUUGUUCUGAAACAAAAUUAACUAGUUACUUUGCGUCAUUGAAGGUAUGCACUUCCCCUCUAUGUUAGGAGUGAAUAAAAUUAAAAAUAGAUCCUCAUAGCAAAGAAAGGCUAGAUAGAAUGAUUAAAAAUGACCAAAACAUGUUAGAAACAGUCUCUCAGAUGUAUGCAGAUGGUAAUUACAAAAACACUUUUUCGA
rnacentral:lncRNA from 1 species